GGACCCGUAGCUCAGUUGGAUCAGAGCAACGACCUUCUAAGUCGUGGGUUGCAGGUUCGAGUCCUGCCGGGUUCG
rnacentral:tRNA from 1 species